GGUAAUAUUGAUUAGAAUGGGCACUGUUAAUUGGUGUCUAAAAUUAUUCGGUGUGACUAAAAUUGAGGCAUAGGUCAUGCUUCCAUCACAGUAUUCAUAUUACAGUGGUGACAAUGAGACCUGUAACAUUU
ensembl:snoRNA